CCGGAGCAGCCGGCUCGGGCCCGGGGAGGCGGCGCGGCCGCGAUCCUCACCCGUGCAGGCCGAGGGCGCGACGCCGUUUGUGGAGCAGGCAGAGCAGCAGGAAGGCGGCCCCCGCCAGCGAGGAGUUCCGCGCGGUCAGUCUGUAUGCAGCCCUGCCCAGGAAUCAACAGCAUCCAACAAAUUGCUUCAAAAUGGCCUGCACCUUGUCAGCCCAGAUGAUCCUGCAAAACUGGUGAGCACCGAACUUGCCCAACAAGUCCAGCCAAGUGAAGAACUGGCUUGCAAACUAUGGCCUCCAGCAACCAACUCCAAGGCGGUGAUCCUUUGAGCUCCUUUGAGCAGCUAGCUCCUCCCUCUCUAGAUGUAUGUACUUCUGAGACCUAACAUUCCAGCCUUUUGUUGGUGUUAAGGGAUGACAUAGUCACUUCUGCAGCUGCUUCCUGACUUGGGGCUUGAGAAAAUGGGAAUCUGGAAUGCUGGUUCAAAGCAGGGGCUCAAGCCAGCAGGCAACGGAAGGAGACCAGGAGGAAAAUCCGUCAGAAGCAUCUGGUUUCCUGGCAUCAUGUCAGUCACAGGUUGGGCAGAAUGUGAUCAGCAGACAAGCUCUCUCAAUGAGGAGAUGGGAAGAGACAUCCCAGGACAAAGGGCAGGGGAGCAGAGAGUCUCAUGGAGCCCAGGACAGCCUCAAACUCUCUGAGCUGCAAAAGAUAACCUUGAACUUCUGAUCCUUCUAAUUUAGUUUCAUGUGGUGUUAAGGACUGAACCCAGGAUGUGGCACAUGCUGAGCAACUGCUCUACCAACGGAGCUACAUCUUGAGCCUUGGAGGAAGCAUCUGAUGGAAGGAAGAAAGACUGAAUCUCUGGACUAUCCAUAACUGAGGUGAAGGUCAAGGAAGAAGGAGGCAUGACAUCAACCAAGGAGGAAAGGGCCUCUCUAGCUGUCUGGCCUUGACACCUACUUUUCAUUUUACACUGUUUGGCAGCUGAUCGUGGGUCAACCAAGUGAAGUUGCAAUCCUUUAGACGAGCCAAGUGCUUCAUUCUCAAUGUCAAGGUUCUCUUUCUUCAGCCUUGGGAACCCUUUGGCCUCAAAGUCAUAGCCACAUUUUAACAGUAUCGUUGGGUUUGUGCCCUUUCUCUGACUUAGGCUGGGCUCUCACUGUUGGCAAUAUACUUAAGGAGUCUACCUUAAUCUGGAUUGGUAUCAAAAUAUACAUAAAGUUUCACCAUAAGCUUUUCAAGGCUCCAGAACUGGCCACAGGAAUUGGCUAGAAUUCUUUGAGUCUAUCUCUCCUUUUGCUGUGGUUUUCUUCCUCUGGUUCUAUGAGCCAGGCCCAGGAAGGAGGAGCUCAAAUGUCACUCUUGUAUGGCUUUUGAUAAAAGUCUGUGUCACAGAAUGUCUCCUAAAAGUCAGAGCUCUGUUACAGCCACUGAGACCAGCUGGGAAACCUUGAGACCUUUUACUUUUGUCUCAGUGUAAGGUUGGUUAUGCCAGACUAUAGGUGUGAUUGAGCUACAUAAUGGCCUAGUUUCCAAAAUGUACCAAAUCUCCCUCCCACCCUGAUGAGUAUUAUCCAUUUGCUAUGGUAGAGCAGACCCAAAACUCCACUGCUAGAUUGCUGAAGAGGGUCUGCAGCUCAGACAGUACCUGAUAGUAGCUCUGAUAGUACCUGAGGUACUAUCUAAGCAGCUGAUUUUGAAUCGACUUCAAUAGUAAACCUGUAACUUUUUAAUUCACUCUUAACAACUGAAAGAUGAGGAUGGGGAGGAGAACAUGGAAGGAGGAGAAGAAGACAAUCAGGAGCUGAGUGUGUUCAGUUGCUAGAGUAUUUCUUGUUUGGCAUGCUUGAAGCCCUGGCUUGGAUUCCCCUGAUGGAGCUGUCCUGUAAUCCCAGCAAUCGAAGGAAGAGGCAGACAAGAGGACCCAAGGUUCAAAGUCAUCAUCAGCUAUGUAGUAAAUUCAAGACAGACUUUAUGCUCAUGUUUGCAAAUGACAUAGAUUUCCAGUCCAAAAGAAAAACAUGUCUUCAUUUAAAAGAGAGAUCUUGCUGGCACAGUGGUGAAGACCAACCAAUAACCUUUCACUUGGGAGACUGAGGCAAGACAUCAUGAGUCCAGCUUGAACUCUAUACCAAUAUUCCAUUGGAAGUAGUGAGACAAGAAGAAAGAAAGAACGAGGUAUCCCAAUGAAGCACUCUGAUGAAAUAAAGUCCUCUGCACUUCCAGAAAAGUCGUGGUAUUUUGGAACAUAUGUAAUGAAGUUUGGCUUUCACCACCUUGUCAUCUCAACUGCUUCUAGUUAGAGGGACCCUCGGAGAGGACAGGACGAUGCCUAGAAUUCCAGCAGGUAGCAGCAGUGAGACUAUCUGAAGACCACAGCAGAAUGGGAGCUCGGGGAAGAAGCGCUUAAUACUGAAAGACAGCUCCUGGCAGACCACUCAAGAACACAGGACAAAGUCUUUCCAAACCCUUACAGAAAACCGUGACCUCUCAGGAGAAGCUGGUAUUUGAACCAUAAAAGAAUUGCAACCAGACAGCUUACUCUCCACCCCAAACAGGCUGAAAGAGGCCAUUGCCAUAUGUGUGUCAAAGUUCAAGGCCACCUUUUUCAGAGUAUGAUCUUUAGUGAACACUACAAAAAUCUAUAUUAAACGAAGCUCAACAAGCUGGGGGAAAUGGCCCCACAAGUGAUUAGCAAAAGAUUAUAACUCCAAUUUGGAAACAGUGCCUGCAAGCCAGUAAAUGAUGAUGAUGAUGAUGAUGAUGAUGAAGAUGUGAAAACGGUAUUUUACCUCCAAUUAGAAUGUAUCAAGGAGGAAUUGUUUAUAAAGGGGAUGGUUGUGCAUAUGUGAUUUAAGGAAAAUAAAAGAUAUGGUUUGGUUAUCUGGAGCUAUUUGCAGCUCUAAUGGCUACGUCUAGUGUUAAAACAACAGCUGGAGAGAAGGCCGCAGGAGCUCUGAGCAGGGUCAGGAGAGCAAUGGAUGCUGUUCUAAAGACAACCCUCAGAGGCGUUCUUACAGGGAGCAGCUCAGGGCAGCAAGCACUUUGAACUUCCCUUCCCUCUCUAAUCUCUGCUAAACUUUCCCCUGGAUGACCCCUAAUUGGAGCCAAACCCUAAUUCAUGCCAGGGUGAUGAAGCUCACAGAGGUCACAUAGGCAGGGCAAGUUUUAGGUGGAGAAGAGUGACUACGAAAUGCAAACAGGAUGUAUGCCAUGAGGGGGAAAACAGCAUGAAGGUGUGAAUCACAGAGAAGUGGAUGCCAAGAGGCCUAAUGGCCACCAGACUACCUCUACCUUCUCAGUUCAUCAAAGCUGAGACUCUAACGUUGAGUCUGGGUCCUAAGCAUCUGCCUGGGUGAACUCUGCCAGAGUCCGCCUCUUCCGCUACAGGGCUAUCUGGAGAUUGUAGUCAACAGUUGCUCCCGUAGUUACCAAACUUUGGGUCACAGUCUGAACCCCAAGAAGCCAAGUCUGACUACCUGUCCUCACACAGCACAUUAAAACAACCAAGAUAAUGGCAAACGGCAGGCGAUUAUUCAAUGUGGUCACACUGGGAAGAAAGACACCUCCCACCAAAGCCCUGAAGUAAAACUGAAAGGAAAUAGAGGGCUGGGCUAUGCACAUCUAAGCAGUACGGAUGAAGGUGUGGUCCUGUCCACCUUACUGGACGUCACUCUCACCCCAUAAGGUAGUCUCACACGUGGUAAAUCUUUUUCCUGGUUGCCUUGCAUCUUUUCCUUCUCUCAGCAGGAGUGUCUUGGGAAAUUUCCAUUUCUUGGGAUCCAAUAUUUAAGUAGCCUGACAGUCAGACGGAGAAACCCAAGUCUCUGGAAGACCUUCAUUUCGGGCCAAGCUGGCCACGCCAUCAUCUGUAGAAGCAGGAUCAGAAUGACACUGUGUUGCUCACCGCUCUAAUUGGGUGUUGGACCCGGGAGAGUGGAGCCUAGGCUAAAAGUCUCCUGCAGUAGCCAGCUUCUUUUUUCAGAGCACCAGACAAUUUGCACCCUGAAGGUUAAGAGUCACAUGAGUAAAGUGUGCCUUCACGAGGACAAGCCACACAUGGUGAAAACAUGUUUUUCCAUAGAGGCAUGUAAACAAAUGGCGAUAGCCAGUCAUAACAAUCUGAAGUAAGCUCAUUCCUAGCCAAUAUACCUGGAAGGGGCACAAAAGCAGAUCCCAAGAGCAAUUCUGUGUUUUUGAAGAACUGAAGUCACAAGGUUCUUGUUUUUUUUGUUUUGUUUUGUUUUUGUUUUGUUUUGUUUUUUGAGUUUUCUCAGCAGCACCAAGAAUUCACUUCAAAUGACUCCAUUCUUGGACCCUGUUCUGACAGUGCAUCGUAUGGUUGUUUGCAAGGGGGCCAUGUACAACAUGGAGUCAAUAAGACGUGGUAUUUACCCCCUCCUUUUUUUUUCUUUUUCUGAAUUGGUAAAUCAUAAGGAUCUAUAAUGCUGGUCUGGAGAGAUGGUUCAGGGGUUAAGAGCACUGGCUGCUCUUCUCGAGGCCCCAGGCUCAAUUCCCAUAAGAGCUCACAUUGUCAUUCCAGUUCCAAGGGAUCCAAUGCCCUCACACAAACAUGUGCAGGCAAAACAUCAAUACACAUAAAAUAGAAAUAAAUAAAUUAUGUUUAAAGGUUUUCAAUGCUUCGUACUGAUAAGGUUUUGGAGCAAAACAUACAAAGUUUUUUUUUCUUUCUUUCUUUCAGUUUGUACUUUUCUUUUUGCUAGGAAUUGAACCUGGGGCUUCCCAAAUGCUAAAUAUUUACUCCACCUGUGAUGUCCCUCUGCUUCUUAAGUACAUUUUAAUGAGAGUAUAAUUGGUAUAUAAUCUUUUGGGGGAAUAUAUAUAUAUAUUUAUAUUUAUACAUAUAUUUAUGGGGGCAUGUGCAUAUGUAUGUAUGUAUUUAAUGUUCAAAAUGUGAAAAAAGCUGGAAAUAAACUAAAUAUACAUCAUGGAUCCUGA